GCUAGGCAGCGUACGCACACUAAGAAUAUAUAAAUGACGUUUGCGUGCAGCACUAACCAUGGACACGGUCGUUGAAUAUGCUGCCGGCCUGCUGCGGCAUGUGUAACGAUGCAAGAUUGGAACAGUUAUCUGUUUUGUCGUAUGUACAUGAUGAAGCUAGACGAUUUCGACAUUAUGCUGUAGUAAAAGCCAGUGACAUUCACAGUGCUAAGGACGCUAAACUGAAUUGGCCUUACGCUGUUUGGCGACUCGUUUGCGCGCAAGAUACUACUCUCACCGUCAAAGAGGAGACGGCGGCGGUGGCGGUGGCGGUGGCGGCCGCUGCCGUGGCCGUUGCGGGGCCAAGAACUAGAAUGAAAAAGGGAGAAUAAGAAGAACUCUCGGAAAAUCAGGAAGCACCGCAGCAGUAACAGCGCAGGUUUUUGUACAAUGGACGAACGAUUCCAUCUGUCCAGGAUUAGGACCCGAAGGAGAAAAAACGGAAUAGAAUUAGGGAAACCCAGUUGGCGAUGUUAACAAGCAUUUUGGUUGCCUAUGGUCAUCGUAAAUUGUUGAGCGAAUAGAAGGUUUUUUACCUGCACUCCUCACAAUUAUUGCAAACAAGGAACGAGAACAGGCGCUCUACUCCAAUAUGGCCAAUUAUCGUUUUUCCUCUUUAUCUCCACGUCGUAAAAGCCUAAAUCAAACAGACAAACUUCACGUGCUGAAGAAACCUUCAAUGAGAUCACCGCCGCAAAUAAGUAUGCGUCUGCAAAAGAAACAGAGGCAGCUUCUAGCGUACCACGACGGAAAAUCUACGGCAGAGAAAAAAUAGUAUGGGUUCCAGUAUAAACGACAAAUUGCUACUCUCCAAAGGCAUAGCUUCCGCCGGGUCAAUUAGAAUUCGUGCAAAAUAUCAGGCAACGCGUCUACACUGUGAAACGUCUCCGCUGUAAUCAUCGUAUCUGUUGGCAGAUUGCGUAAAAGCUCGCGCGCACGUCGCCGUCGCCUGCAUUGGCGGGCGUCGUCUAUUUGUUGAUGUUGUUGUGAAGUCGUCAUAUCGUGAAUACAAGCUCAAUGUGAAAUCCGUAGAAAGCAGCCUGGUAAUGAUAGAUCCGAAGGUAGCAAACUGCAACAACUCUACCGCGCUCAUCGUCCGCUUCCUUUCGGCGGUAGGCAAUGCUUUUUAAUGCGACAGCUUAGUCUUGGUUUCGGCAGAAUUCCGAAAAGAUCGAUGAGGUUCUGCACGAGGCUGUGAAACUGGCCAUGUGCAACAUUCAACUUUCCUAUUUUAACUAUUCAAGAAAUAAAAAUGCCACCACUCCACUGUUA